UAAGGAAUAUUGGUCAAUGGACGCAAGUCUGAACUAGCCAUGCCGCGUGAAGGAUGAAGGUCCUCUGGAUUGUAAACUUCUUUUAUCUGGGACGAAAACGGGAUUUUUAUCUCAAUUGACGGUACCAGAGGAAUAAGCACCGGCUAACUCCAUGCCAGCAGCCGCGGUAAUACGGAGGGUGCGAGCGUUAUCCGGAUUUACUGGGUUUAAAGGGUGCGUAGGUGGGCUUAUAAGUCAGUGGUGAAAUCUCCGAGCUUAACUUGGAAACUGCCGUUGAUACUAUAGGUCUUGAAUUAUCUGGAGGUAAGCGGAAUAUGUCAUGUAGCGGUGAAAUGCUUAGAUAUGACAUAGAACACCAAUUGCGAAGGCAGCUUACUACAUAUAAAUUGACGCUGAGGCACGAAAGCGUGGGGAUCAAACA
rnacentral:rRNA from 1 species